GACGAACGCUGGCGGCGUGCUUAACACAUGCAAGUCGAACGGAAAGGCCCUGCUUUUGUGGGGUGCUCGAGUGGCGAACGGGUGAGUAACACGUGAGUAACCUGCCCUUGACUUUGGGAUAACUUCAGUAAACUGGGGCUAAUACCGGAUAGGAGCUCCUGCUGCAUGGUGGGGGUUGGAAAGUUUCGGCGGUUGGGGAUGGACUCGCGGCUUUCAGCUUGUUGGUGGGGUAGUGGCUUACCAAGGCUUUGACGGGUAGCCGGCCUGAGAGGGUGACCGGCCACAUUGGGACUGAGAUACGGCCCAGACUCCUACGGGAGGCAGCAGUGGGGAAUAUUGCACAAUGGGCGGAAGCCUGAUGCAGCAACGCCGCGUGCGGGAUGACGGCCUUCGGGUUGUAAACCGCUUUCGCCUGUGACGAAGCGUGAGUGACGGUAAUGGGUAAAGAAGCACCGGCUAACUACGUG
rnacentral:rRNA from 1 species